rnacentral:lncRNA from 1 species
GGAUGCAAUGGAGAACAUUUACAGAGGACUGUGGGUAAAGCAAAGUCUUCAAGGGAAGAUAACAAAGGAUGAAACAAUGGUGUUGUGUGACUUCCUAGUGUGAAUCAUGGCAAUACAGUGAAAGACAGUGAUUUACUGCUUUUGAGGGCGUGCAUGUAUAUGAUUAACGGAUGGAAGUGCAGGACUCCAAGAUUUACUUCCUUCCCUUUCCAGCAGAAUUACCUGAGACGAGUAAAAUCUACUGGUGGAGUCACUCCAUUAUUCUUAUCUGUGGAGAUCUAGAUCUUGAUUUGAAAGUUUCUGAGAAAAUCUUCAGCUCAGACUUGAGGGUCAACUUUACCAGCUGAAGUGACUACAUCCUGCCUGCUUUCAGCUCCAGUGGAAAAUGCAUUAAUCCCAGAGUCUCCGUGAGGUUUCCUGUUUGAUGACAUAAUCAGAAAAUCCUCCUCACAUUGCCCUUGGGGUUGCUGUCUGGAUGUUAUGUUGUCUUGGAUCUGCAUUUACUGCUCAACCACAUCUAAUUUGAUGUCCUCUGCAGAUUUAAAAUGUGUGCCUUCUUUUCCGUCACCAAGUCAUCCCUGGGUUACUACUGAACAUCCUUCUCAAUUCCCCCCGACCCAUGGAUGGCUGUUCUCCAUUGUCUGUUUCACCAGAUGUCCUCAAAACAAACAGACAGAAGAAGGAAGUGGCUAAUGGAGCUGUGGAGUCCAAGUGUGACUGCCAAGAGGAAUCCAGCAAAGCCAAAAAGCCCAAGCAUGUAGCCCUGCCCGAAGCACGCCACACGCAUGGAAAACCCAGAGGAAAUGAGUGAGGAUCAAUGGGAAGAAGAGAGCCAGCCAGGUUCGAUGCCUUCUCCAUCCGUCAGUGAGGGUGUGGAGAGCCUGCAGGCGUGUGCCUCCCUCUGUAACUUGCUAUUCCUUGUGUAAUGUCAAGUGGAAGUGUGAAGCACCACAAACUGCUCUGAGCAGAGCCCACUUCCCUUCACCCACGGAGAGCGUGAAGCAGUUACACCAACAUCAAUCAAGGAAAACCCACAGGCUGAGCUCACACGGUUGAAGCAGGAAGUUGAAGAUUUGUCCAGGAGCAGAUAGCUGAAGAGAGAGAGAGAGAAGAGAGAACGGCUUACAGCUCAGGUCCUCUCUCCAUGCUUAGGAACCACUACAAAUGCUACUGCCUUGAGUCUCAUUUUGUUUCCCUCUGGAAACCACAUGUGUACCUUGUUUGCAACAGUAUGGUUCUGGAGACCAGAAGGCCAAAAUCAAAAGUAUGGGCAGGCUUGAUUUCUUUAGAAGACUCCAGCGGAGAACUGUGUCUCCUUGCUUCUGAUUCUACAUCUCCAUCCAUGGGCCACUGUUUCAGCAACCUCAGCCAGUGCAACACAACCUCAGCCAAGAAGAGUAUGCAGAGAAAGGAGUCCCCUACCUGCCACAAAACUGUUGUCUGAAAACUGUCUCAUAUUGUCUCAAGUUGUCAUUCAUUGUGAAUUAGACCUGUUUAACAUGUAAUCUGCAAC